GACGAACGCUGGCGGCGUGCCUAAUACAUGCAAGUCGAACGCAGUGGGGACGGGUGAGUAACACGUGGGUAACCUCCCAUCAGAGGGGAUAACACUUGGAAACAGGUGCUAAACCGAUACUGAUGGAUGGACCCGCGGGGGAUUAGCUAGUUGGUGGGGUAACGGCUCACCAAGGCAACGAUGCAUAGCCGGCCUGAGAGGAUGAUCGGCCACACUGGGACUGAGACACGGCCCAGACUCCUACGGGAGGCAGCAGUAGGGAAUCUUGGGCAAUGGGCGAAAGUCUGACGCAGCAACGCCGCGUGUGUGAAGAAGGUUUUCGGAUCGUAAAGCUCUGUUGUUAGAGAGGCGGUACCUAACCAGAAAGCAACGGCUAACUACGUGCCAGCAGCCGCGGUAAUAC
rnacentral:rRNA from 1 species